GCAAAGACAAGGGCAUCAAGCCGGGACAAGCAGAGUGAGGCAACACGUCAUACUCGGCCUCACCUUGUGCUCGGAACCAGGAAGCUCGCUUUGCGGCGCCCACUCGGAACAGGCUUGUCUGAAACGCCUCUGCUCGGUUUUUGGCUUUCAAUUAACUACCUCCAUACUGCGACUUUGUUGGCAUAAGUGGACGUGGCGCCUCAGCGUUUAUACACAGGAAACUGUCUAGUCCGCUGUUGGCAACCUGCUGGAGUUCACGAAAAUGACGGAAAUCUGGCGCAAAAAGUACGAUCAAGUGUGCGGAUGACGCCUGCGGUUGUCCCCUGUUGGCUGUCUAGUGCCAAGCUGUCCACCUGCACCAGAACACCAUGCUGAAAGCUCCAGAACUGAAUCAGGAGGUGGAGCAGUGGCUUUUUUCCCUCCGCCUCUCCCAGUACGCACCAUGUUUCCAUCAAGGUGGCUACCAGUCCCUGGAAGAUUGCAAGGACCUCACAGAUGAGCGUCUCCGAGAGCUCCAAGUGCUCCCAACAGGACAUCGCAGGCGCAUCCUUCGUGGUUUAGAGGCGCUCUGUGUUAGGAAACCUCCGCUGUACCCGAGAAGUGUCUUCCUAAACGACAAAAAGAGAGGCGGUUCCUGCCAGCAUUACCGUCCCAAAGAAUGUGAGGACGUGGAGGGGAGCCAGACCUUGCCUCCAGGAGCUGGCCUGGGAGCGGAGAUGCCUGAGAGUUUACCUCAACCAGCACGCCGUAACCCUGACAGCAUCCUAACAUCCACGCUGGAACAUCCGUGCAUCCCCGCUUCCACUUCCUCUUCCUCCGUUAGCAGCACAGAGUCUCUCCCAAUGUCUGAACUCCCACCAGACUGGGAGAUCUCUCCAGAUGACGUCCCCCCAACAACCCUGAGUGAGGGGUCCACUCAGUGCCAUAUGGUGGACAACACCAUCUACGACACACAGCCGUCUUCAGAGCUUCCUAAAGGACCCAGACUGACUCGCUCGUACCGGCUGAGGCAUCGACCUGUGCCGCAGAUCCCGCAACAAGACGGGCACGUAGCAGCAGCGCAAACAAGCGGGCCUGAACACCCAGCCAACUGCGGGGGGGGUCCCUGUGGUGCAAACGGCAUACAGAAAGCUCCGCUUCACAGAACCGUGACGCCCAUCGCUCCCUACGGAGAGACGUUCCUCUACAUCAACGAUCAAAACAUUCUGGAGCAAGUGUCACAGAAGGACCAAGAGAAGCAGAAGAAACACAGGUCCAAGGACGAAGACCCCCCUCCCGUCCAGGCUAUUCCAGACCCUUACAAAGAUGAAUACUCCACUGUAGAAGAAUGUUCCAGCCUUUUGCAGACUUCGGACCAAAGUAGUGCAGAGUACCUCACGGUUGGUGCGGCGUCUGCGGCCUCCGCUCCCGUCUGUCAUGGCGGUUCCGCGGUCAUGGCGACCCAGGUCUCCCAAUCUGUGGACAUUGAGCCACUUCCUGAUAUUUCACCCUAUGCUUGCUUUUAUGGCGCUCCAAAGCCUCCUGUGCUUAAGGUGGGCUGGCUGGACAAGCUUUCACCGCAAGGGAAGUGCGUCUUUCAGAGGCGUUGGGUGAGGUUCGACGGCGAGAGCCUGGCCUACUACAACAGUGACAAGGAAAUGUACUCCAAAGGGAUGAUUCUGGCCACUGCCAUCAGACAGGUGCGAGGUUUAGGUGACAACAAGUUUGAGGUCAUCACCUCGCUUCGGACCUUCAUAUUCCGAGCUGAGAAGGAAGGGGAGCGCCACGAGUGGAUGGAUACUCUUCAGACGGCAGCGCACCACCACCACCCCGCCCCCCCCACCGCCGCUGCCGGCUCCCAGAAGUGGCGCCACAGCCUGCGCCGCAGCCGUUCCUCCACAAACAAGCGCGGUAUGCUGGAGGUGCGCGCCUACAAAGGCAGAGUUCUGGUGUCCCUGGUGGGGAGCAAAGUCAGGCUGUGCAAAACAGAACAGGACUACGAAGCAGGCCUGGCUAUUUGUGAAGUGGAGCUGACGGCCGCCAAUAUUCGAGAUGUGGACCGCCGGGUCUUUGAAAUCAACACGCCCUUCAAAAACUUCUGCUUUGUGGCGGAGUCAGAACGAGAAAAGUCGGAGUGGAAGGAAGCUAUUCAGGAGUCCAUUGCAGAGACGCUGUCCGACUACGAGGUGGCCGAGAAGAUCUGGUUUAACGAUUCCAACAAGAGCUGCGCCGACUGUCGUGCUCCGCAGCCAGAGUGGGCGUCUGUCAACCUAGGCGUGGUCAUCUGUAAGAAGUGCGCAGGGCAGCACCGCUCACUCGGCCCCAGUGUCUCUAAGGUGCGAAGCUUGAAGCUAGACAGCAGCAUCUGGAGCAAUGAGCUUGUAGAGCUCUUCUUGGAAGUGGGAAACCAGAAGGCCAAUAGCUUCUGGGCGGCUAACCUGCCACUGGAGGAAGAGCUCCACAGCAGGGCUUCGGCCGAGCAGCGUGCCACCUUUGUCCGCCGGAAGUACCGGGAGCGAAAAUACCGCCGGGUCCUGGAUGAUCUUCAUGACUCGGAGCAGCUGAACAAGGCGCUGUGUGGCGCGGUGCUGCUGCCUGAUGUGCUGCACACCAUGGAGCUGGUGUUCAGUGGGGCAGAUGUUAUGUGCGCCACUGGGCAUCCGACCUGCUCCACGCCGUACCUCCUGGCCCAGCGUGCAGGCCAGAGGCUGCAAAUGGAGUUCCUGCAUCAGAACAAGCUGUCAGAUUUCCCUAGACUUGAUCCAUGGUCUGAAAACAACUGUCUGUCAGAGGUGUCUCUCUUCAUGGAUGGCUUCCUCUACAUCUCCCCAGGCCUCGGCAAAGGGACGCCACCUGACCGCAGAAAAGGAGAAGACAUGGCGCGUCGCUGGUGUACGCUGGAGGGUGGCUUUUUGAGUUAUUACGAGAGCGUGAACAGCACGUCGGCGGUCGGCAGGGUGGCCGUCACCGACGUGGUCAGCCUGGCCAUCAGCAACACGGAGACAAUGACUGGGGCGGGGGCCGUGUUUACUGCAGAGCUGUACCUGCAGUCGGUACGGGUGCUCGUCAUCGGUGCAGAGACGCAGGAAACGCGGCGUGACUGGAUCCAGGUGCUGACCAAGUGUUUGGUCCCGUCCACUGCAGAGGGUUUGGUGCUGAAGGACAGCGAGCUGAUAGGCCGACUCUUCUACAAGGAGGGCCACGACCUCUACCACUGGAGGACGGGCUGGUUUGUUCUGGCCGGCUCCAUCCUGCACUUCGGCUCUGGGGACGACGGAGGAGAAGAGGAAGUGCUUCAUCUUAAACAGCUGCAGGAGCUCACUGUCACCACCCACAAGGAGGGCGAGGAGAAGAUCCAGGUCCUGCUGAUGGUGGAGAGCGGAAGAACCAUUUACGUCCACGGCUUCAACAGCAUGGACUUCACACUGUGGCACUCGGCCAUCACACAGGCUGCCGGCACCGACGGCAAGGCGCUCGGAGACCAACAGCUGACGAAGCAUGGCGUUCCCAUAAUAGUGGAGAGCUGCAUUGCGUUUGUCACUCAGUAUGGAUUAUGCCAAGAAGGUGUCUACCAGCGGCCGGGCAACUCUGACAGAGAGGCUCAACUCUUGAACGACUUCACCCGUGACGCUCGUAAUGUCAAAUUGAGAGAGAAGGAGCACCACCUGGAGGACGUGACGGGUGCUCUGAAGAGGUUCCUGUUACAGGCGGAGGAUGCCCUGCUGACCAAGGAGCUCUAUCCUUACUGGGUGUCUGCUUUGGACGAAAAGGAUGAAACCCUGAGAGUGACAAAGUACUCCACUUUUAUUGAGAGUUUGCCCAAAACCAACAGGGCCACGUUGGAUGCUCUACUCCAACACCUCUACAGGAUUCACCAAUGUUCAAACCUCAACCACAUGCCCAGCGAAAAACUGGCCACUGUCUUCUCUUCCUGCUUCUUCCAGACUCGGGGACAAAUGCCACAGGAAAUCCACGUGGUCCACGACCUCAUCGACAACUACAUUACACUCUUUAGUGUCAAUGAAGACCAGGUGCAGCAGAUGGAGCGGGAGAAUAGCUUUAUCACCCGCUGGAACGACAAAAAGGACACCACAUUCUCGCCAGCAGGGGACUUGAUCUUUGAGGUGUACCUUGAGAAGCGAGAGCCAGAGAACUGUUGUUUAAUCAAGGUGUCGCCCAGCAUGCGAUCUGCAGAGCUGGCAGAGGCUGCGCUGAGUAUGAGGAACCUCACCUUGAAUGCCAGUGACUUGUGGACAACAUUUGAAGUCAUCGAAAAUGGAGAAUUAGAGCGUCCAUUGCACCACAGCGAGAAGAUUCUGGAGCAGGUGUUGGAGUGGAGCACAUUGGAUUGCCCCAGUUCUGCUUUUCUUGUUUUAAAGAAGUUCCCAGAGGCCACAAGAGGCACUGAAGAAAAAGUGGACCAGAAGCAGCCGGUAAGAAGCGACUAUCUGAAGUUCAACGAUGGCUGCACCAAAUUGCUGUCAGGGCACAAAUUCCAGGACAAAUAUGUGGCACUCCGCGCCGAAAAGCUGCUGCUUUACAGAGAUAUCAAAAGCACAAAAGCAGAGAAGGAGGUCCACCUUAAGGCUGCGAAGUGUUACCUGGGCCUGAAGAAGAAGAUGAAGCCUCCAAGCAGCUGGGGCUUCACCAUCUACACAGAGAAACAGCAGUGGCAUUUUUGCUGCGAGGAGAAGGAGAUGCAGGUGGGCUGGGUGGCCGACAUCAUCAGGAUGAAGUUCGGAUCAGACCUCUGCACCAGCCCAGGGGGCGCCGCAGUUCACACGGCCUCCAGAGGGGGAGCUGUGACUGAAGGCAGAGCACGCCUGCAGCAAAAUUCAAGCCAACAGAUGACCGACAGGAGGAUUUCUCUUGCCCUCAAGACCAACACUGAUGGUGGGGGCGUGACCCCUCCGGGCCAACACAGGAGGUCCAUCAUGGACCUUUGCCAGCCGUGGUCACAGCCGCAGGCCUUGCUCGCUUCCCGACAAAGUAGCAUGAGCGGCGCUGGCAAGAGGCCCGGCCCCGGCGGCGAGGAUAUUGUUGUUUGGGAGUCAGAGAUUCUGCUGAUUACUGAACGUCAAAGAAAAGGAAAGUGAAAAGAGAAAUAUGAAUCUUAAAUAUUCUAGCUGAGAAAUGCUAAUCCACAUUGACUGCAUGCAAACGUUGUGACCAACAAUGAAAAUGUUGCAGAAACAUUUAUUUUACACCAUGACUUUGAAGCAGUGGGGGUGUGCGUGAUCUAUGAGGUACUUGUCACUGCUGUUCUUCCAUAGAUAGCAAAAGCCAGCGUUUUUGGUUUGUUUGUUUAUUGACACACGGUGGUCGAGUGGUUUGCAUGUUUGACCACACAGUCUGUAGAUCGAGAGGAUCCGGUUUUGGGCAUCUAAACGUGGAAUUUGCAUGUUCUGUGUGUGUGUUUCCUCCAGGUACUCCGGUUUCGUCCCACAUUCCUAACAACAUGCAUGUUUGGUUAAUUGGCAACUCUAAAUUGCGAUUGGUUGGCGACCAGUCCAUGGUGUACUAGCUGGGACACAACCCCACAACCCUAAUGAGGAUAAGCGGCAUAGAAAAUGCAUGGAUGGAUUGUUUACCAGGAGGUGACCAGACCUUUACAACAAAGCUAACCCAAACUUUUCCUGGACCAGGAUAGAAUGCACAUACUUCAUAUUCAGAUAAAAGGUCUAGAACACAGAAAAGAGAAAGACGUGUGUUCCUGUCUCACGUAAGGAUUGUGGAUCAGCGGAAAUUCCCCCAAGAGUUAAGUUUAGGACAAAUAAAUUGGAGGCUAACUAGUUAGCUAAGUAUCUAGUUAUAUGCUAUAAGCAGCGGCUAUAUCUUAUGUCUCUGCAGUGACCCCAUGCCUGUGUAUUAGAGUUCAGCAAUGCGUUGUAAACAUAGAAUAACACGAGUGUAACUGACUAUAGGGAUGUUAUUUCGUGACUACAGGGCUCUAGUAAUGGUAAUGGUAUUGAAUCCAUUCAUUCAUUCAUUCAUUCAUUUUCUACUGCUUUUUCCUCACGACGGUCGUGGGGGAUGAUGGAGCCUAUCCCAGCUGUCUUUGGGCGAGAGGCGGGGUACACCCUGGACUGGUCGCCAGCCAAUCAGAGGGCACAGCUCAGCAUUCCUGCAGUCCAACGGUGGCAAAGCCAUAGAGCUAUUUAAUCAGCACCCUCCCUGUGGUAGAACGGACCAGGCAUGGCAGGGCUGGGCCCAGCAGGACUGUAUUGGCACUCCAUCAUGCAAACACCACUCUCUGGAAAGUGGCCAAACAUCAGUGCCUGGGAUGAUAAAACAAAACAUGGCAGCUCUGUUGAUUUCAACUUGGCUGAGUGAGAAAUAUGACUGACUGAAAUAAAACAGUGUGUCGCCCAACAACUGACAAGAAUAUGACUUGCUGGGCUGUUGACACAUCCAUCUACAACAUGUUUCUACCUGAAUAUCCAUUAUGUUCACUGAAUGAAAUGCCUGCAGAAUGACUGGACCAUUUGAAAAUCAGCAUGGAACCAGGCUGCAUAGCAGAAAAGAAAAGAAAAAGAAAAAGAAAAGAAAAGAAAAGAAAAGAAAAGAAAAGAAAAGAAAAGACUACUGUGGUUAUUAAUCCAUUCCAGAAAGCAAAAAACCUGUCACAAUGUGGGCGUCACCCUAUCGUGACAGCUCCUUUAGUUUCCUUCCUUGCCUCUGUUCCGGUUUUCAUGCCCUUAUUUUGGUAACUACUUCCUUUCUUGUUCCCUUCCAUUUUCUCUCUGACUCAUUUCACACACCUGUCUCUAAUUUCCACACUCCCUAUUUAGUUCAGGUGUGUGCUCUUUCGUUUGUGGCUUCAUUGUCUUUGUGUUUGGUUUGCCUGUAGUUGCUGUCUACAUAGCUUAAGCACCAUUAAACAAUGGCCAAACUGAAGCUGGACCCACAGCUGUAGCUGUGAGAGACAGGGUGACUGACAAACUGUUGGGAGUGUAAUACCAAAACAAGGCUGAAAUCAUUAGCUAGUUGGCCAGUGUUACUGGAACAUCAGAACAAAUGUUUCUUCCUCUGUGUUGGAUGUGUAGAAAUGUAAUCAUGUUCGCCGAAGUGUACACUACACGCACAAAGCUGUUUCAUCCUGGCCAUUUUGGUUUCCACCUUAUAGCCAAUACUGAUGCUGAUAGCUGUUUUAUGCUGGAUUUAGCUUUGUUUACGUCACACCUUGCUCCACUAUUACAUGCAGGCUAUGGGAUCUGUGCUGGAAGAGAGAAGGCCGCCGCUUUAAGCAUAGCAAGGUAAUGUAAGGUAGUGUCUUAUCAAUGUAACGUUAUUGACCAGAAUACUACAUAUGACUUUCAAUAUUUAAUAAGGAGAGGUGUCCCCUUCUGUGCUGGUGACUUCUUGUUUUUGUUGUUGUUGUUGUUUUGUUUUCUUCUAUUAUCCUUCUGUACUGCUUCUUUGCUGACCUUAGCUGGACUCUUAGCCCUUUCCAGGGCUUGUUGUUGGCACUUUUGGGGGAAUUUUGCCCAUCAUCCACAAUGAACAC